rnacentral:snRNA from 1 species
AUCGCUUCUCGGCCUUUUGGCUAAGAUCAAGUGUAGUAUCUGUUCUUAUCAGAUUCUGUAUCUCCCUCUCUCUCUGACCCUCCCCUGCUCGCACUGUCUCUCUCUGUCUCUCAAAAAUAAAUUUUAAAAAAACAUAAAAAAUAAAAAUUAAAUUAAAAAAAAUUCUU